GAAUUGGAAGCUUUUACAGCAUUGGUCUUGUAAAUCAAAGAUAGAAAUUUAUUCCCGAUUCU
rnacentral:tRNA from 1 species